AAUUCAAUAGAACGUUUUCUUCAUAUAUCCUCGAAAAUAUGGUUCGAGAGUCUCUACCGGGCUGCCAUAAAUGGCCUGACUAUGAAGGCAGAGUUUUUUCUG
rnacentral:ncRNA from 2 species